CUCCGUGACUCCUACGGGAGGCAGCAGUGGGGAAUAUUGCACAAUGGGCGCAAGCCUGAUGCAGCAACGCCGUGUGAGUGAAGAAGGUUUUCGGAUCGUAAAACUCUGUCCUAAGGGAAGAAACAAAUGACGGUACCUUAGGAGGAAGCCCCGGCUAACUACGUGCCAGCAGCCGCGGUAAUACGUAGGGGGCAAGCGUUAUCCGGAAUCACUGGGCGUAAAGGGUGCGUAGGCGGCUUAGCAAGCCAGGGGUGAAAGGCAUUGGCUCAACCAAUGUAAGCCUUUGGAACUGUUAAGCUUGAGUGCAGGAGAGGUAAGUGGAAUUCCUAGUGUAGAGGUGAAAUUCGUAGAUAUUAGGAGGAACACCAGUGGCGAAGGCGACUUACUGGACUGUAACUGACGCUGAUGCACGAAAGCGUGGGUAGCGAACAGGAUUAGAUACCCUGGUAG
rnacentral:rRNA from 1 species